AGAGUUUGAUCAUGGCUCAGGAUGAACGCUAGCUGGAGGCUUAAUACAUGCAAGUCGAGCGGGAUUGGUAGCAAUACCAUGAGAGCGGCGCACGGGUGAGUAACGCGUACACGACCUACCUCUGACAGGGGGAUAGCCCUGGGAAACUGGGAUUAAUACCGCAUAUUAUUCUGAUUAAUAAAGGAUUGGAAUGAAAGUUCAGGCGGUCAGAGAUGGGUGUGCGUCUGAUUAGCUAGUUGGUAGGGUAACGGCCUACCAAGGCGAUGAUCAGUAGGGGGCGUGAGAGCGUGGUCCCCCACACGGGUACUGAGACACGGACCCGACUCCUACGGGAGGCAGCAGUAAGGAAUAUUGCACAAUGGGCGAAAGCCUGAUGCAGCAACGCCGCGUGUGCGAUGAAGGCCUUCGGGUCGUAAAGCACUUUUCUGAGGGAUGAGCAAGGACAGUACCUCAGGAAUAAGUCUCGGCUAACUACGUGCCAGCCGCCGCGGUAA
rnacentral:rRNA from 1 species